rnacentral:snoRNA from 1 species
GCUGAGGAGUGAUGACAAUAAAAGGCCGAAUUGCAGUGUCUCCAUCAACAGUUGGCUCUCUGUGGGCACACGAUGACAAAACAACCUGAAGCGAGUCACUGUCUGACCUCAGU